rnacentral:lncRNA from 1 species
ACCCCAGUUACAGCCAAUAGGGAGCAAGCAGUGUCCGACACCAGGAAACCCUUGAAUGGUGGGAGGAGAGGGGCUCUCCAACCAUCACAAGCAACAGGAGAGGGAGGGAAGGGGGCUCUCUCGAACCAUUGUGAGAGACCAAGAGACGGCCUUGUACGAAACCCUCCUAUACCCCAAAAAAUGAAACUCUCAACUCUGUCGACUCGAAUAUAUGUGGGUUGAACUCGAAUAUAUGGGCUAAAUCAUGCUAGUAACCAACUAGUCCAGUUCAGUACGCCCGAACCAACCGGUUUGGCACGAUUCGGCAAUCCUUGGUUUCAACCAAAUGGGUCGGUUAAGUUUCGCUAACAUAGUUUAAUUUGGAUAUGACUUCUUUCAAGAUAUGUAAAAUGUUUAAAAUCAAACUUGACAAGCCGGUGGAGAAUAGUUUUGGGCAAAAGCAAGCAUAUUUAACCACUCUUCUACACUAUUGAAAUGGUAAUACAUAUAGAAGCAUUAGAAUGCACAUAGUAAAAGCCUAAUCAUGAUAUCACCUCCCUUCACUCAAUUAAAGAAAUAUGAAUAACCAGCGGAGACCGCAUUAUAGAGCCCACAUGUCCACAAUAGAGCAGAGUUCUAGGUCUACGGAGUGUAAAGUUCUAGAGUAUGUUCAUUUUUCUCACUGAUGCAGUGAGGACCAAAGUGAGAGACAGAGAACUGAUCUAAUGGAUGAUAAAAUACAUAGAUAUCUUGACAGUCAAAAUCAAUGCUAGGCAUUGGACUAUUGUUGGUUACUCAAGUCUGAUAGCAGGAAGGCUAUCUGUUUGGAUCACAGAGAGCCAUGCUCAUCUCAUCCCCAUGCACUAUAUCAGAGAUAUGAUCCCAUUCAAUAUACCACAUCAGAAUCCCCAUGCGACAACUUAUAUUCCACUUGUUUCUAGCAUACUAUAUACAGGUCAGAUCUCUUCAAUGUAAAAAUCUAACAGGAAAUUUUGCACCCCAUAAGAAUAAAUUUAUGAAAAUUUUUUGUAUAAAAGGCACUAGUAUUGGACAUGCAAUGCACCCAGGAGGAACAAGGAUGAGAGGAGAGAGCCAAUGUGGUCAUAAAUGCCAUUCAAUUUUAAGUGGCAGUUAUUGUUGCACUGAAUAGGCCCCCACUCUUUUUUAUGCACAAAUUAUAAUCUGCCAUUCUGUUAUUUCUAGGACUCACCAAUACCAUGCAAUGAAGGGUCCUAUACCUCCAAAGGAAAAGGUUGGAAACCUCGGACUCGCCCAAGUGCUCCCCAUACCUCCAAAUGUCUGAAGACCUCUGAACAACUCUUUCAUAAGGAGAUGUUCCUCGCUCAAUCAUUCAGCUUCCUUCCCUGCCUGAUGCAGGGGCAACACAGGAGACUAAUCA